GGGCAAAAGGGAAUGGAAGCGGGAGUAACGUAGAGAUGGCGGGUCAGUGCAUGGCAUGAAUGGAGUGAGAAGUCCAGAAAAGAAAAUCCAAGCAGAAGAAAGCCAGAACCACCAAACCUGACAGGGUGCAGGGAAAAUGAAAAACAUGAAAUGUCACUGGACUCAACCUGAAGCUAAGACCAG
rnacentral:lncRNA from 1 species